rnacentral:lncRNA from 1 species
UUUUUUUUUUUUUUUUUUUAACGCUGAAAGUCUGUAUUUUGACAAUUUUAAUAAAUCAGCUGGAACUGAUAGAAACUCGUAUCGCUAUUAGUGUCUGUAGAAGGAACGCUGGAGAUGCCGUGUUGUCACCCCUUGCCUGCGGAGGAGCGGUAGUUGUAGGCUGUUGUGUGUGACCGUAGCUAGGGGGGAAGGAGAGUAAGGACUGCUUCUUUUCUUUGCCUUUUUUUUUUUUUUUUUCCGCCUCCCGUCGCCUUUUCCCCCCCUCCCCGGUUUUGCUCCGCGGGGCCCGGUGAGUGCCAGCCUGCCGCGGCGGGGUCUCUAUUAGGCGGGGCGCGGGCUGGCUUGCUGCGGAUCGGGCCGGGUGGUGGCAGGUUGGCUCAUCCUGGGUGCUUUCGCCUCUCCCGUCUCCCCCCCAGCCCGGUGAACGAGCCCGGCUCCCCGGGGGACGCCCCGCCGGUCCCCCGCGUCCGGUUUCUGGGAAGGUGGGCGCGGCUCCCCACCUCCACCGCCCUGGUCCUCUCCCCGCUGCGGUUUUUGUACUCCCCCUUUCCCGUUUUUUGAUGAAUAGCCUGGGCGAGACCUGAGGCGGAGAUGCUCGGCGUAGUGGGGCUGCAUCUCCUCCGCCCCCCGCCAGAGCUCGGUCCGGCGGGGCGGCCCCGGCCCCGUUCCGGUGAGCUGCCCGGGGGACAGGGGCAGGAGGGGGUAUGAGCUUCUGCUGUAGGUGAGCAGACUUUUUCAGUGUGCUUUUUUUUUUUUAAAUUUUUUUUUUUUUUUUAACCUUAGGAGCCAUCAGAUUUCAGUUGUGCACUCUGAAGUAAGUGCUGAUGGCAACGAACAGACUCACAAGGUGGGAGUUUGUUUCUCAAGAAGUUUACUUUUUAUCUGAUAGGCAUUGGUAAAUUAUUGUUUGGGGUUGGUUUUUUUUUUUGUCUCCACUAAUUAAUGAUCCAGCUGUUUACAGGGACAAUUCACUGUGCUGGUAUUUUGGUGGCAACCACUGCUACAGGCUUUCAGACUUGCUGAAAUGAAAAUCCUGCAUACACAUUUGUAAGGCAUAAUAAAACAUAACAUUAAAACCUGCAUGCAUGUUAUGUUUAAUCAAAGACAACUCUUAGGCAUUUAAGUGGUGAGAUAUCUUACUUUAGGUUAGUUAAACUGGUAGUAAAAUGAUUAAUAUAAUCUGAUCUCUUUCUAAUAAUAAUAAUAAAACACUCAUGAUUCUAAAUAAAAGUUGUUUGGCCUAAAUCUUUGCUAUCAGAAAAGAGAUAUAGCAUAUCUGGGAACUCAAAUUUAUGUCUUGCAUUGUGAUAAUUCUUUAUGAGAAACUGUGUUUUAAAACAAACUUAAUUACAAUAUACAAGAUAUCCUUGGCAAUGGAUAGUCCUCAAUAAAACAGAGUUUCUUGAAUUUUCAGUUUUUGGUCUCAAAUGAUUAGUGUGUUCUCCAUGUAAUAACUUAGAAAUCAGAUUGAAAACAAAUGACAUUUAUCUCUUCUAAGGCAAAGGAGUGAAAGAAAAUAGAUACACUGAAGUGCUCUAGCCUAGCCAUUCACUAUCCUGCUAUCGAAAAUCUGGUUUUGGGCUAGGGUGAUGGAGUAAGUUGAUCAGGUUCUAAGUCUUAAAACUGAGCCAAAAUUCUCUUAGUAAUUCUUGAAGCUAUCAUGAGAGUAGAGGGACUUGUUCUUCCAGUCCCUUUCUUCUGAUAUGCAUCCUUGUUUAUUAAAGUGAUAAUAGGCAGUGUCAUUAAACAUUUGUGCUUUACAGAUGUUCAAUGAGUUAUGAGCAAUUAUGGUCAAAUAUAGGCUGUGUUUAGUUUGCAUUAUAAUAAGGUCUGUGUCUCAGCCUACAAAAGUUUUGACUCGCGUAUGCUUUUGGAAGCUGUUUUUAAAAUUACCAUUUAAAAUAUUAGUCAAGGAUACAUGAUGUAAAGGAUCCAAGUAUAGAACAGUCAGGCAAAUUUUAAAAGAGCAACAGGUCUACUUUAGUCAAUUAAUAGCCACUCAGAAGUAUCUUUUCUUUCUUCUAGAUGGGAAUUAUACAAUAUUGUAUCAGAGGAAUUAUUCUGAGUGAAGGUAUAUGAUGCAGGGAAACAAUUUUUUGUCCAGACAGUUGAGUUUCUUUUAUUUCAGAGUUUAUUGUUGCAUAUUGCUCAAGGGAAAAUUAGAUAGUGUUCUGUUUAAGCCACUGCAUUGUUAGGGCUGAAGUUCGAUGCUGUUGAAUGCCUAAGCUCCUGCUGAUCUCAGCAAGAGUAAAAACCCAAUCUUCUUGUCAUGAAAAAUAGCAUCUGCUAAGCUACUCUUUUUUUUUCUUUUUUCUCUUUUGUCGUAUCUGAUAAUAUUCAUACCUUCUGUUUCUCUUUUGUUUUCCAGUGUUCAUAGGAAUCCUUGUUGACAUGCUAGAGCAGUCCUGUUGCAGGCUUAGUAUCUCCUGUGGCCUUUUAUUCCACAUUCUUUGCAUUUGUCUCUGUACAAUACUACUCUAAGUGUAAUAGGAUUCAGUGGUGGAAGGGAGAAAAAUGAGCUUUUUUAAUGUGGAAAGACAAUUUACUUGCUAACACUGAGGAUGUCAACUCAAUGUAAGACCUAACCAAACAUUCUGAUUCUCUUUUAAUUUUGAAGUGAACAUUUGUAAACUUACCAUUUUUCCCCUUUUGUUGUUUUUAUUAUGUUUUUCCUAUCCUCCUUUUAAAAGAACCACAACUAAGAAAUAUUUUCUUCCUUAAAGUGCAGUCUUUUUCAAAUGUGGUAGAAAGACUCAUUCCAAGCAUCCUUUGAGCGCUACAUGCUCUUUAGGCAUUCGCUGUCAUUCAGAUGAAACUUCUUUGAGUCUAUUGAAUGUGAUUUGCAUCUGUGCAGUCUGAUCCUUCACUCAUGCCUGUCUGAGGAAAGUGCAACUCUAUUGUUACACCGAGGUAAAACUAGUGUGGGGUCAAAGUCAGGGCCAUAGAAUUUUUAGGUGUUUAAUACUCAAUACAGCUUACGAAGUUCCUUUUUACAUCUUCACAAUUGUUGCCUAGUAAGGCCUUAAACCUGCACUGGUUAAAAACAAAAAAAAAUUCUCAUUGAGCUUAAUGGGAGUUUUUGCCGCAAGGGCUGCUGGCAGGAUAGGUGUCUUAGUUCCUCCUAACCUUCAUUUGUAAGCGUGGCCAGGAAAAAAAACAAACAACAAAAACUUAACACAAUGAGUUGCCUUACAUUUCCCCUACUAUACAGUUGUAUUCCUUUGGUUUAUUUCCUUUCCCCUCACCCACAUCGAAGGCUGUGAUUGUUUUUGUUUUUAUUAAUUUUUUUGCACACUACCUAUACCAAUUAACUGCCUAAUUAGUUUUAUCUUCUUUACAUGGAUGCAGUGAAUUUGUAAGAGAAUUUCACAAGCAAGUAGUUUUUUAGUGAGUUUAAAGUAAAUAGAGUUUUAAAGACCUAUUUUUAUAUUCAAUAUAAAGCACAAAUGUGCAGAAAGUGUAGAAUGACUUACCAAAAGGGAAACAAAAGUUCGUAAUAUUUCAUGUAUAAAAGUAAUACCUUCUUUGGGUUUGAGAUUCUCUUAGAAAACCCAAUACUUAUGCCAGUGCAAAGAUAGGAUUAUUUUAAAAACUCUUAGAAAAUUGUGAUUGACAGCAAUUUCAAAGGAAUGACUUCUGUAGAUACAAGGAAACCCCUAAAGCAAUAUGGAUAAUAAGGGGUGAAUGGUUUUCAAUGAUGAACAACAACCUGGAAGUGUGAGAAUGGAGGUUUCAAUCCUUAUUAAUUAAUCAAAUUUCUUCUUUUGUGGUUAGUUACAUCUGGAUUUUCCGUGAAGUGCAAUCUUGCAGGGUGAAAAAGUGCAAGGGCACCAAACUUCUAAGAUUUGCAAAUACUCAGAAGCAGGUUCGGUUUGGAAUUAUCUGUUAUUAAUUAGGGAUUUAGAUUUUGGUAAUUCCCACUUCCAAGAAAAUCAAGACACCAAUUUACCUCUUGAAGAAAUUUGAUCAAAUAAUAGUGAUUAAUCCAGGAACUCCCAUUGUCACAAUUUGUUUUUGUUUCCAUCGUCCUGCUUAUCUCCAAAACCAACUUGCCUCAACUCCUGGUGAAACCAGGGAGAAGAGUUAUAUGCCAUUGUUAGUUCAUUUACAAUUUGUAUCUGGUUUUGCUCUUGUACAUAUGUUGGCGUUUUGGAGUCUUUACAUAAAUGCUGUGAUACUUUUUUUCCUCUUUUCUUUAAUUUUUUUGGUGGGCUGUUUUAAAAUGGAGGCCUGUUUUCCAGUGUGGGACUUUCGAUGGUUACAACAUUUCAAUGAUGUUGCAUGAUGGCCACAGGUGGGGGAAAUUGAAUGUUUUAGAGCAGUUUUUCAAGCAUGACACUUUUAAAAUAUGUAAUUUCAAAGACUUUUCAAGGCCACAUGAAAUUAGUUUUCAUAGCCACUCCAGGUCUUGGGGGGAAAAGCUGAAAAGUACUUUUGUUUAGAAGUCUGAGUGAUGGUGGGGGGGAAACCUUUUCUUGAGGUUUUUGCAUGCCAGUGCACGGCCUAUUGCUGUGAGAGAAGGAAGAUGGUAAGGCUGCUUGAGGCAAUGCACUGGAGGACAAAGUGUUUUCUAGCACUAGAAAAAGAAAAUGCAUGGCAAAGUUUCGUCUUCUAGUAGACUAUAUAGCAUGCAGAGUUUAGUAUGUGUCAAAACAGUGUAUGACAUUGCUGUAUCAAAGUUGUAAAAUUAAGCAUUAUUUAUUGAAAACUAUGUAUUUUUUUUGUAAAAACCUGAUCACCUAGAGGAUUAAUAUCAGUGACUUGUGCUAGUGCUACAAACUUAACCAGCUUCUUUACUACAGUACUUGAUAUGCAGUGUUAAUGCUCAGGGUUGAAACCAGUCCACUCCAAUGUCUUUUUCUGCAAGAGUUUUUAAAUAAAGGAACAACAUAAUGCAAUUGUUCAAAAGACUCUAAUAAAAUUGUGUGAUCAAUCUUCCUACGUGUUUUUAUGUGGAUUUUUUUUUUUUUUCCAAUGUUGCAUUCAGUAAAUGCAGUUCAGCUAUUAUAGUGAAUCCAUUCUUCAGUCUGUGGGCACCCAAAGCUUAAAGUCAAUGGGAAUGUUGUGUCUUUCAAAAAAACCCUCAAAUUAUAGUUAUGGUUAAGGUAGGAUGUACAGAGAGUGAGUGCUGUUCUGGCACACCUGACAGACACUGAAACAGAGAACAGCCAAUUAACUUCCUUUUUUUUUUUCUUCUGGUUAAGACUCUCGAUAAAACAGUGAAGUAUUUUCUGAUAAACAUUUUAGAUAUUGCUUUGAAGUUGACCAUGAAAGAAUGAAAUAAGAUGGAUUACAUGCCAGCAAACCCCAUUUCUCUCUGUAUCUUUUUCUACAAACAAUUCACCAUCUAAAUGUAUUUUGGCAUAGAAAAAAGAAUCAUUCUGUAUUAAGAUUCUAGUUAUGAAAAUGUUUUUAUGAGAACCCUGUAAUCAAUUCUUUGAACUAUAAAAAGCUGUUUUUAAUGUGUUUAUGUGGUGAAAGUUUGUUGUAUAUUAAAUAUUGUUUUAUAGAAA